AUAUCUUCUGGUUUGCCGAUUUGUCGUCAAGUACUGCAAUUGGAGAAGAAAUGGGUAAAAAAAUAUACAUUUUUAAAGAGGACAGUGUGUGUCUGUAUAGGGGACAGUGUGAAUCUAUAUAGGGGACAGUGUGUGUGUCUAUAUAGGGGACAGUGUGUGUGUCUAUAUAGGGGACAGUGUGUGUGUCUAUAUAGGGGACAGUGUGUGUUAAUAUAGGGGACAGUGUGUGUGUCUGUAUAGGGGACAGUGUGAAUCUAUAUAGGGGACAGUGUGUGUGUCUGUAUAGGGGACAGCGUGUGUGUCUGUAUAGGGGAGUGAUGGAGGUAGAUAUGUAUAGGGGGAAGGGGACAGGGAUACUGGAGUGAUGGAGGUAGAUAUGUAUAGGGGGAAGGGGACAGGGAUACUGGAGUGAUGGAGGUAGAUCUGUAUAGGGGGAAGGGGACAGGGAGGUAGAUAUGUAUAGGAGUAAGGGGAUAGGGAUACUGGAGUGAUGGAGGUAGAUAUGUAUAGGGGGAAGGGGAUACUGGAGUGAUGGAGGUAGAUAUGUAUAGGGGGAAGGGGAUACUGGAGUGAUGGAGGUAGAUAUGUAUAGGGGGAAGGGGAUGCUGG
ensembl:lncRNA